rnacentral:rRNA from 1 species
GACGAACGCUGGCGGCGUGCUUAACACAUGCCAGUCGUACGGUAAGGCCCUUUCGGGGGUACACGAGUGGCGAACGGGUGAGUAACACGUGAGUAACCUGCCCACAACUUUGGGAUAACGCUAGGAAACUGGUGCUAAUACUGGAUAUGUGCUCCUGCUGCAUGGUGGGGGUUGGAAAGCUCCGGCGGUUGUGGAUGGACUCGCGGCCUAUCAGCUUGUUGGUGGGGUAGUGGCCUACCAAGGCGGCGACGGGUAGCCGGCCUGAGAGGGUGACCGGCCACAUUGGGACUGAGAUACGGCCCAGACUCCUACGGGAGGCAGCAGUGGGGAAUAUUGCACAAUGGGCGCAAGCCUGAUGCAGCAACGCCGCGUGCGGGAUGACGGCCUUCGGGUUGUAAACCGCUUUCAGCAGGGACGAAGCUUUUUGUGACGGUACCUGCAGAAGAAGCACCGGCUAACUACGUG